AUAGGUACAGGUUCUUUGAACGCUGUUUACGAGUGGUCAACGAUCGAGAGUUUAAGCGUACUGUAAGUACGUCGCCCACUUGGGAGGGAGCUGCAGUAAUGCAGCUUUUUCUUUUUU
rnacentral:sRNA from 1 species